rnacentral:rRNA from 1 species
UACGGAGGGUGCAAGCGUUGCUCGGAAUUAUUGGGCGUAAAGGGUAGGUAGGUGGUCUCAUUUGUCUGGGGUGAAAGCCUUGAGCUUAACUCAAGAAGUGCCCCAGAAACGGUGAGACUAGAGUUCUGGAGAGGGUCGUGGAAUUCCCGGUGUAGCGGUGAAAUGCGUAGAGAUCGGGAGGAACACCAGAGGCGAAGGCGGCGACCUGGACAGAUACUGACACUCAACUACGAAAGCGUGGGGAGCAAACAGG